rnacentral:lncRNA from 1 species
GCAGGUAAGAAACAGCCAUUUUGGGAAGAGCAAUUAGUCUUUCAGGUCACUGAGGCCUCUUUUAAUACAAAGCAUAGACUAGAAACCAGAAGCAUAACUGGAUUUAUUCAAGCAAGCUUUACCCUAGAGAUGCUUUUGCUUUCAGCAGAGCAGUUUUGUAACAUUUACUUUUAAAAGUCUUUCAUUCUCUCUUGAAUGCUUUUAGAUUACUAUGAUGGAACAUAACUUUGGAUGUUAACAGUGACAGUCUUUGGACUCACACAUAGUCAUGCCUCAAACUAUGACAGCAUACCGAAAAACUUUUUGGUGAAUAUGUGAAAAGAGAACCAUCCUAACUAACAAGUUUUGAAUAAAAUAGUUACAUCUAAUUUUCUGAUUGUGCCUUUGCACACAGUGCCCAUGGCCUUGAGGGAGAAAGAGCAAAAGAGCAUCUGAAUAGACAUAGAAGACAUCAGAGAAAUGGAGUCCAAAUCAGAGCACUUCAUUUCAUUCUGUAGAACAUUACAGAUUUUUUUUCCCCAAAGCAAACAAGAAUUCAUAAGAAAAAGAAAAAACUACUCAUGAUGUUACUUAGCUCUUUAUUAGUGAAAUGUAGGUUUUAUGAAGUCAGUUCUUAUUCAAUGACAACAAAAUCUUACCAAGACUUUUAUAGAUGAAUAGGAUUUUUCAGCUAACAGGGCCAUGUGUGGUGCUGUGGAAAGUGUAAUGGACAAGAGAUACUGGAUUCUAAUUCUGGAUCUGCCAUCCUGGAUGCUUGAGGAAGAAUAAUUUCUAAGUUUCAGCAAGAAGCAGACAAUGAUUCAAUUGGCAAAAGUUAUUUUGAGGAUUCAGUGAAACAACUCAGGUAUAUAGUAAGGAGAAUGUGUCUAAGAAUGUUCAGGUUUUGUGUUCAAUGUGAAUACAACAUGUCAGUAAAUAAAAGCAAUAUACUCAAUGCCAUUUUGAGCCCCAGUAAAAGAGAAAGAAUUAAGGAAAAAAUAAAAUACAUGGUAAAGCUAUAAAAUCUUUCAAGUUGUUUCUCCUUACUUAACCAAUUUUAACAAAUAUUUGAAUCCCUAGUCUUUCAUCCUCUUUUUCUUACCCUCAGCUGUGUUUCUGAUUGGUCCCAUCUGUUCCCACUAAAUUCCAUGUUAUUCUCUUCUUGAAAUGCUUUUUCAUUGUGCUCCCUUCUCUCUUCUACUUUCUUUUUUGCUUAGACACAGUAUAUUUAUUUACUUUCACAUUUCACUUUAAUUUUCUUGAAGAAAGCUCUCCUUAACUGAGACCCUGAUUAGGCUGACUUCCAUUUCUGUAGCCAUUUAGGCAUUUGAUAACUCUGGGUCAUAUGUGUGUCGCAUCUGCCAGAUGGGCAUCACAAAGGCACAGGUUUGUUAUGUCCAUAAAACCCAGUGUGUGUGUUGCCUAGCACACUGCACACACUCAAAACUAUAUUGGGGCCAAUAAUUGAAUGGAUAAAUGCAUUUCAUUUUUAAAAUUUCAUAUUUUUUCUGUUAGAAAUGAAGUUUCAAAGAUGAUUUAAUAUUAAUUUUGUCUUAUGGAUUUAUUUACUUUGUAUAUCACUUCCUUUAAAUCAGUAGUACUCAGUGUAUCUAGAUAAAAGAUAUUUCAUCAAUUAAAUAUGGUCUUGAUAUCUACAAUGAAAAUCAUGAAUACUUUUUUCAUUCAUCGCUAUGUGUGUGUGUGUGUGUGUGUGUGUGAGUGUGAGUGCACGCGUGCACGCGAGUGAAAUUUCUCAGUGAUGAAGCUUAAUGAAGCAAUAUGGAUAGUAGAAGGGAAAUAGAACCUAAAUGGUGGGUCUAAGAGCUGACCCUGAUUAAUGCUGGGCAAAUCAUUUAGCACUUUUGAGAUUCCUUAUGGCUAAAAAAGGAAGAAAUGAAUAUCCAUUGCCCAACUCACAUGAUUUUUUGGAGGAUCUAAUAGAUACAUACAUAAGAGUGUUCUCAAUAAAGUAUAGCAGUUCUGCAAGCUCAAGAAAUUAUUCAUUAUUGUGAAAUCUUCCACUCAAUGGAGAUGAGAUAUUGAGUUUAUUAUUUAGGCUGAGGAUUUUUUUUUUUCAGCAGCAGGAUUACAUGUUUAUUUUAGUGGCUUGAGGAAAACAAAAGAAAGGAAACUUUUCUUUACCUCUCCAUAGAUUUUACCUUUCUCCACUGCAUAUAUUGGUUGUUAGAAAAUCAGUGGAGGAAAGAGGAGUGGAAGAGAGAGAGACAAGACAAAAUGUUUUGCUACAUAUAGGAAGAAACCCCAAAAUGCUUCCACUAUUUUCCAGGUACCAUUAAUCCUUUCUCAGACAUAAUAAUACUGUACAAUGUGAUGUCUUCUCUUUUGUGAUAAUUUGCUCCUUACUUUUGAAUAAAAAAUAAGCAGCAUAUCAAUAAUGUUGAGUGUUUAUCGACUUUUUUGUUUUCUUGGUUUUUUUGUUUGUUUGUUUACAUUUCAGGUCUGCAAAAAUGACAACUUCUACCUUGAGAAGUUUCCACUUCUUCUUUCCUUCAGUAUAGGCACUUAAAUAAUUUAUUAAUUUCCAGCAGGCUCUAAAUGUCAGCUUAAUGGUUUCUCUACUUAUCGCCCAAAUUGAAGAAAUUAGAGCAUUUUGCCACAACAUGACAUCAUUAGAGGCAAACAUUAAUAGAGAGAGAAGUUGACCGUCAAAAACUUUGUGGAAUUUAUAAUUUUUUUAUUCAAAUGAUUAUUGAAUAAACUGUGUAGUGUUUAGUCCUCAGAACAUGUUUAGGGUUGUAUGAACAGUACAUAAGCAAUUAAAAUUCUUCUAUGUUACUGAAUUUUAUAAAAAGAUAAAGCUAAACAACACUUUUAUUUUUUGUUGCAUGGUCUAAGUUAUGAAGUUCCUUCAUAACUUAAAUAGUUGCAGGGCAUCAGAAAACUCUGAGUAAUCAAACAUGCCCUCCAAAAGUUAACAAGUAUUUUUUAUUAAAAAUGGUCUUCAUUACUGAGCCUCUCUUGUUUGGGUAUUUUGAUUUGAAGGGUAGCCAGGAGGGAGAUGUAUGAUUAUGAGCUUUCUAAGAUUAAAAUAUUUGAAAAAUAAAAAACUUGAAAUGUUGUUAGAACAUAGCAACUGCUGCCUGCAGAAUGACAUCAGAAAAUAUUAAGUGAAUGAAAGAAUUUCAUAAUUUAAGAAUAUUAUAAACUGAAAAUUUUCAGUGGUGAUUCCAUUUUUUUGGUUAGUUUUCUUAGAGUUUUGUAUCCAUAUAUUUUACUUUAUAAUUUGACUUGAAUUACAAAGUAUGGUGAUACAAUUUUUAAAGAACACUAAAGAAUUUGAUAGUGUUUAUUUUCAGACAUUUUAAAGUAGGUGAACAAAUUUCUUUCUAACCUUUGCCCAAAACCUGACAUCUAGGGGCUGGGGUUGUGUGGCUCAAUGGUAGAGCGCUUGCCUAGCACGUGUGAGGCAAUGGGUUUGAACUUCAGCAUCACAUAAAAAUAAAUAAAACCUGACAUCUUGAUUUUGAAAAUUACACUGAGAAACACACUAUAACAUGUAAGAAAGUAGCAGAAUUAUCUAUAUAAAUUUCCUCAGUUACACUAUAUAAAGAGCUAUCUGUUGACAGAAACAAGUUAAAUGGCCAUGGCGAUGUAUGCAUUAGAAAUGUUUGCAUAGAGAAAAACACUUAGGUGAAAGGAAAUGAAACCAAGGACUAAUUACCUAAUACAGAUAGAAGAAUCCAAGCAAUCCACCUUGUGUUUACACAGUGCUUUAUAAAGUAUGUUUGGGAAUGCUCUGAUUGUAAAAGAUAGGUAGGAACAACAUCUUUAUCAACCUUUUCAAGGAUGAGAAAACCAAAGCUCAGUGAGAUUGGGUGAUUUGCCCGAAACAGUUACAGAGUUAACAAAUGGCAAAGUGAGACUAAUGCCAUCUCCUGAUUUAUAAUUACAAUUUACACUGUCCAUACUUUCUUUUUGAAGUUAGACCUCCUUAAUCCACAGAAGAAAACCUCAGAUGAUAUCUGGAGAUGAUAUGUGUUUAAACUAGGUAAGCCAGUCAUUUUAUUUAUAGUCUCUCUUGCCCAAUGUUUCUGGACUUCUUAAUCAUACGCUUACUCAUAUGCUUAAGAAAGCACUCUACAUCUUUUUGUGGCCAUUAAAUCAAAUAGCACAAGUUCAUUAGGUAACAGUGUUUGUCAGAGAUAAUGAUUGGAUGUCUCAAUGAUGGAGGCACUUGAAGCCUACAACCAUAUAAAUUAAUAUUAUUUGACAGUUCUCAGCCUUUUUUUCUCUUUCAUGCUGUAAUGCAAUAAAAAACACUUUUCCCAUGGAUGUUCUAAUUCUCUCAUUUUGUCUCUGACUCAUUUUAGAAUUCCAAUAAUAUGUUUUUUGGAUAACUUUAUAUCUGUACUAUUUUGAAAAGUUUGUCAUUUAAACUAAUAACAACAAAUAAUAUGUGAUAACUUUGCAAACGAUUUUUAUUCAUGAAUGCUUUUUAAUACUGUGAAUGAAAAUUACUGAUGUAUGAGACAGCUCUCAAGGAGGGUAAGAUGGAGUUAAAGAGAGAAGACAGGUGCAGAAGGCUAACAUUAUUAGGUGUUCACAGUAUUUUGACGGAGAGGUUGUUUAUCCUUAUGACAUUGAAAGGAGGAAGCAGAUGGACAGGUGGAAGAAUGCUAAAAACAGGGAAACUGAAGUAUGGCAGUGAAGCAUGCAAACAAGGAAUCAGUUCAUUGGGCUCUAACAGGGGACAUAUCAGGAGGGAGUCAAAAUUUCAUAAGAGGGGAAAACCAUUUCUAGCAGGAGUGGUCAGAGAAAGGUACCUUCCAAUAGGGGACAGCAUGCAUCCAGGCUUUGAAUAAUUGAUAGACGAUGGUGAUGUACAAAGAGAGUGAUAGACAUUGCCCUCCAUGAAAGAUAGCAGUGACAGUGACAAAAAUCCACAAGGAAUGUUCAAGAGAGAAAAUCCACUAGGUUCAAAAAGAUAACCAUGGGCCCAGUUUGACUAUCGGGAUAUAGUAGAUGCUAAAGUAUUGGAAGGUACAGGUUAGACUAUAUUGUCUUCUAUAAAAAUUCUUGCUAUUACACUACCCCCAAUCUAUAAAGAUCUACUUCCCCCUUCUCUCUUUCUCUAUUUGAAUAAUCCCUUAAUAAUAACUCUGUGUUUCUCCUCAGUGUCUGGAAUGCAUACAUGGUUGAAUAUAUUAGACCACAAAAGCAGGCUGAUUAUUAGAUAUGAAUAAAACCUACAUUCUUGAUAAAUAAAUGAAGAAAUAACCAUGUCUUCUUUUUGUUAUUCCUAAGCCAUUGAAAUUCUGUUAUUUAAUGUUUAUAUUUUUGAUCAUUAGCUCAGCAGACAAUUAGGAUGCAGGCACAAUGCCAUCAUCUUUGUAAACAUUCAACCAGCUUCAUCCAUGGAUGCUAUUUCCCAUCUAACUCUAGUCCUGAUCCUCCUUCAGGAAAAUGUUAAGACCAAAUUUAUAUAUUUUUUAAGUUAAUUAGUUCUUUAGAGAUUGAGGAAUAGGGAAAAUUGUCUUAGGCAAAAUAGUGCAAUCUGGGGAAGAUUAAAGAGGUUGUUCUGAUAAUAUAGGGAUACAAUGUUAAGAUGCUAAUGAGUGUGCCAAAAAUGAGGAUGGAAAGAAUGAACCAAUAGGAAAACUACUGUGAAAGAAAAGACAUUUGUUUUUGACCAUUGGGUUUUUAUUGUUGAUAUUAGAGGAAUCCAGAGAAACUUGCCACUGGGGAAAGAAGUUUCAAGGAAAUUUCCAAAUAAAGUGGGGCUUAAUGAGGUCUAUAUACUGGGGAUGUUAAAAUAAUAUAGAAUAACAAAAUUCAUUUAAUUUAUUAUGCAUUGAAAAUAUGACAAAGUCAUUAAUUCUGUAUGCCAAAUCCCAUGAAGCCCUUCCCUCAGCCCUAUGAGAUGGAUUUUCAUCUUUCUCUUAGUAGCAGUGGCUGCACACUUUUAAAAUUGCCCCAGAAAAUAUUUCUUACCAGACCUUUAAUCCCCAAUAAAAUGGUUGUGCAAGGAGGAUAACUCACCCCUGUGGUAACUAAUUUUUGGUUUAAUAGCAACAGAAAGCCUUUUGGAAAUGUUACAUGUCCAUCCUGGGUGGGUUAUUAAAGUGCCUAAUGGCACGAGUACAGGACUACCUCCUCCAAGAGUGCUCAUAAAGAGAACUCAUUUUAACAAAGAAGAAUGUGACACAGGAGCAGGUAUUAAGCUUGGGCAUUUUGUUGGUCAUUGCAGCAUUUUCUUUCCUAAAUUAAGCGCUUUCCUUUAAUUCAUAAUUCAGUUAUCUCAACUCAAAGCUUAAAACUAAGCUACCUCUUAUCCUAAAUUUUGAGUUCUAGUCUUUAGUAUAAGUGUUCCAAUUAAGACUAGAAGGAGUUUUAGUUUAUUUGUGUUUUUCCCAAAACAGAAAUGAUCGUUUUCCAGUCAUCAUUAUAAAGUCUCAGAUUACAAUUUAGUGAGAGAGAACAAGAUACAUAUGUUUUAUAUCUGUGGGCCUGUGCAGCCAGGAAAACUAUGUGGAGGAAUUCAGCUCCAUUUAAACCUUGCAUAAAAGAUGGAAAUGAAUUGGUGGCAAAGAAGGGUCCCAAAAGAAUAAUAGCUCCCAUUUGAAUAAAACUUUGUUGCUCAUAAGGUGUUUUCACCUAUAUUGUCAUAUUUGACAUUCACAACAGCUUUCUGAUAUGGCACUUUUCAAAUUGAAUUAGGUAUUUAAAAAUCAACUCUGCACCAUAUCUGGAACACCCUAAAGAUGUCAGCUUUGAGUAUCUUCUGUACUCAGUGUGGGGCCAGGUGCAGAGCAGUUGGGCAGGGAGUUUCAGUGAAUGAAGUUAAUUCUACCAUCUUGAAUGUUUGGUAUAGACAGGCAUUAACUGAUAGGUCAUAGACAAAUGUGAGUGGUGGGAACAUGAAGUUAAGGGAAUAAUUCUACAGCAAAGGCCCACUGUGCUUACCCUCACGUUUUCACUUUUAAAAAGUAAUUUACCUGCAGCACUGCCUGGCUUAAGUCCACAGGAUAUGUUACAUUGCUCUGCAAACAACUUAUUAUCUGUAGGAGAACUGAAGAUCUGAAAUGCCGAUGAGAACAAAAGUUACCCUGAAGGGGGGGGACUUUUGUGACACAGAUAAGAGAUCCCAGAACUCAGGGAAAUGAGGAUAAUUGCCCCUUACUACAAAAUCCCUAAGAACAGGUACGAAUUAGAGCCAGUCAGCAUGAGUCAAAGUGAUUUAGAGUUGUGAUGGCAGUGGGGAUUUGAAAGUCUGAUGUUAUCCUGUUGUUGGUCAAAAGUCAAGAGAUGGACCUGGGGAACUCAGGAAACUCCCCAGGGACUCUCAAUAAAACUGAAUGGCAGGAGAGCCACACUAUUCCUCUCUUUAAGAAAACCUACUCUCUUCCUUGAGCGUGUCCUCUUUCUCCCUUUCCUAUCCCUUCUAAUCAAUUCAUGCCCGUUAUUCUGAACAACAUGUCUGAAAUCUUUCCAGUGUGAUAGCAAGAAUCAGAGGUUGGUGGGGUUCAUUACUACCUCAGUAUCAUGGAAGCCACAGCCCUAUAAAACUAACCUGCAUUUUAGAUGUGAAAACUUAGGUUAUGGAACUAAACCAAGUUACCCAAGUCAAAAUAAAUGACAGAGCAGUGCUCCAAAAUGAAUCCAAGGAAUAUGAAGUACAACAGUAAAAAAAGGUUAGGUAUAGAAAGCCUAUUUAAUCUCUCCUUGAAUUUCCAGUAUGAGACACUCUGACUUAGGCAUAAGUAAUGAAUAAAUGUUUUAAAAAUAAAUAAACUUGAGUUGAAUCAGUUCAAAAUGACUCAUGACACAUGGAAUUAGAUGAAAUGAUCAAUUUAAAUUUUUAGAGCACUCAGUUUUGUUCAAUAACUUUUGCCUAUAUUUUAGAUUACCCACCUAAUAUGAAUACAACAAUGAGAAUAAGUGGACCCAACUGCAAGAUAUUAUCUAUAUCUUGAGGUGAGACUAAAAGUAGAAAGCAUCCUUCAAAAUUCACACAUUCUUAUCUUAAUGCAGACAAGUUUGAACUUGCUGAUUAUGUGGCAGGCUGCUCCCUUUUUGGCUUGGCACUUGUUAUAUCAGAAAUUAUUUUGAUUUUCUUCUUCCUCUUCACAGGAAAUCAGAAGCUAUAAUCUAUUGUGUCAAAUAAAGUAUAUUUGCUUUUUUUUUAAAACAGGAAAUCAUAAGAUAUAAAUCUGUUGUUUCAAAUAAAGCAAAUACAAAUAUACAAAUAGUCAUAUAUAUAUAUAUAUAUAUAUAUAUAUAUAUAUAACUACUGAGUUAUUUACAAAAACUGUGUGUGUGUACGCACAUGUGUUUGUGUGUGUGAAAUAUUUGCCAAAUACAUAUUUGACAGUGGAGGGAAGCAGCCUCAAGAAGGUUUUGACCAGCCCUUCUGUUUCUCAAUUUAAAGGGUGUUAGGCAAGAAGAUGCUUGAACAGAGAUUGAGACAGAGGGUCAUGUGCUUUUCAUAGGCUGAAGAGUUGAUUGCCAAAUUUAAUAACACAUGAAUGCAAUAUACUCUCAGUAAUUAGUGAUUCUUUUAGAAAAAUAAGCAAAGGGAAUUAGGGACUUGGUUUAUGUUUGUGACACUUGGUAAAGUCAAUGAUUUCUACUGCAAUCACCAAACUUCAGCUAGACUGAGAUUUUGCCAUCUUGUGAAAGAUUUCUUUGGGAAAUUGCUGUAAGAUUUCAAGGAUUUAUUAUAAGAUGUAUAAAAAAAGAAGGACAACAGAUGACUUGAAUACAUGGCUACAAGAUCAAUUAGGUUAAACAAAAUUAAUUUCUCAAGACUUAUUAUGUAAGCAUUCACUGAGAGUCUCUUAAGGGCAGAUAGCAUGUGGUGUGGGCUCUGCCAUUGUCAUCCCUACUGGCUUCCCUGCUUCCCACCCACCCUGCACCUGGUCUAGUGUUCCUUAGAAUAGUUUGUGAAAUUUUCUUCUUGGAAUUCUUGAAAUGUGAUCUUGUAACUGUGUGUCAUGUUACUUCUCCUUUUCUCUCCUCUCCAAAUCUAGCCUAUAUUAUCCAGAUCACAGAUUGAACAUCUUAAUGUAACCAUUUCUCCUACAGCCUCUAUUAGACUUUUUUUUUCUUUAUUAAGAAAGUAAGUACCUUUAGGAUGGAGAUUAUUGUGUCCUUCUCUGAAUAUACCAUGGUCCUUAAAACAGUGCUGCCUACCUACAGAAAGGUUCUUCUUCUUUUAUUGACUGGUUGAUUGACUGAAAGAAUAGACCCAGAGCAGUUUUGAAUUUAGAAAACAUAAGUGAACAAGAUUAAUUUUUUUUUGCCUGAAAAAUCUCAAGGUUAGUGAGAAGAUACAGGCAACUAUACAGUAGGAGACAAAAAUACAAAAUUCUUCAUAAUUAUGAAACUGGACAGAGAUAAGAUACAGUAUAAGACUUCUAGGAAGGUUUUACUAGUACUAGCCAACUUGACUCUGGGACAGUUACACCACACCUGAAUUCACAGAGUCCUGUUUGUUCCACAUUUUCAUCAUAGUAAACUUAAGGCCCAUGAGAUACAGAGCAACACUCCAGGUGUUCUGUGAUUACUUGAGGUUCACUUUGUCUUUCCCUGGAACUGGGUGUUCUGGAAAGGCAAUUAGCAAAGGUGUGGGGAUGUAUAAGAAAGAAAGAAUUGUCGCAUAAUACUAAAAGUAUCUAUAAACAUCUCAUAUGCAUACACUUAUCCUUGUUCCAUCUCUUCAAUUCCAGAGUAAGUAAAUUAGGAUUAACUUCUGCAACUCUGUAAUACACUUUUUUUCAUAAAAGUUGUCUCCUUGACAUAUAUUCUUUUAAUCUUUAAUUUAAACUUAUUUCUCUUGUUUAAAUGUCAUUGUGUGUAUAUAUGUGAACAAAUGCAUGUGUAUUAUAUGAAUAAAUAUGAAGCUAGAAAAAAUAAAAAUGCAAAGGCUUUGUGAAUUUUGGUCUGUUUGUAUGUCUCCAGGCCUUCUCUCUUCUUUAAGGGGGAAGUUGAUUUAGAGUACUGAAGGACUUCUCUUCAUUUCUCUCUCUCUCUCUCUCUCUCUCUCUCUCUCUCUCUCUCUCUCUCUGUGUGUGUGUGUGUGGUAUGUGUAUGUGGUUUUAUUGAUUGCUAAGGACAUGAGAAAUUAGAAAGAAAGGAUCAUUUGUUCCCAAUUAGCUUUGCUUAUUCGUGGGAUUGAAGUCAUUACUUCAACAAAGUGUUUUUUAUUAUAGCACACACCAUUCCCUUCUUUCCUACCAGGAUAUGUCAAUGUAAUAAGUCUUGCCUUUACCUUGACUAUAUCCCCAAAAUGUGAGGAAACAAAAGUUAAAUGAUGUCUUGCUAUUAGAGAAGAAAUUGGACCAUUUCUGGAGUAGAUAUAUUGAAUUGGCUACCUUUGUAGAUCUGAACCUGAGUCAAAGAAGCUUGGUCUGUUUGAUCUGGGGUUCCUUUCACUUUGUAUAAAACUCUCUCUGUACCCCUACCCCCAUUCUCAGUUAAGACAACCUUGAGCAAAUCCAGUCUCUGGAAGUUCAGAUGUGAGCAUUCUAAGCAUUAACUAAACACUCCUAAGAACAUUGCAUGGUAUAAUCAAGACCUAGUGCUUGCCACAAACAGCCCAUGUUGUUUCCCAGAUAAAUGAUUGUUUUGAAAUAUCAGUUUAUUGCUCUGACUAAAUUGAAAUGAUCUAGGAAACUUGUUGAGGACAGAUGCCUGGAUUAUAUCACUCAUGAUUUUUUCCUAGUAUCUUUGAUUGGCAGCUAGUUGUGUUAGGUUCAGAAACUCUAGUUUUAAUCUUCAAAUCAGAAGUUACUCUGCACAGAGCCCUGGAGCUCUCACUUGAUGCAUUCUCUUUCACUUUGUCCACCUUACAUCAAUGCUGUUUGCCUGAUUUUUCUGUCACUUUGUCAUACUUAAAUUAACAGGAGUCUUGCUCAGUUAGUCCCACAAACUGGUCCAUUGAGGCCCAUCUUCCAGAUAUUUUGACAUCCUAAGACAGCUGUAUAAAAGGACUGCUGCAGAAGGCCAAUAGUAUACCAAUCAUACACACAUAUGUGCUUGCAAGGGUACACACUCUCUCAGUGCUUUGUCUCUGGAAGCCAUGAACAAAGUUGGCUAAACUUAGCCAGGGCUGUGAUGAAGGAUCAUUCAAGUUAUGUAUGUUGCACUUCUCUGAGAACCAUUUUCACAAGACUGUCUUGUGAAUAGUUCCACAGCAGCUGUGCAAUGCAGAGUUUCUUGGAAAAAGUGAGUCAUUAUUUUGAAAAAAGGAAGGAGCCCACCACUGAGGAAGCAAACACAUGUUUGGGGGUAAAAUUUGAACAGGAUUCAAAUAUUUUCUUGUUAUGCGGCUUGAUGCUCUCAGCACAUGCAAACAGCACAUGUACACACUCUCUCCUGGCCUUCCUCUUUUCUCUAAUCCAGGUUGAUUUGCAACAUUUUCCCUCCAUACCUCUGUACCACAGCUGGAUUGGGAAAUACCACAAUAAAUUAGAAGUGGAGGCUUGAUUUCUGGUGAGUGACUUCUCAAUUUAAGUCUCCUUUAGCAUUCUGGAACUGUUUGUUUAAUGACAACCUUGAUGGCCUUUGUCUUGAGAGCCCUUUCCUUGAAACCCAGUCCCAUGCAAAAAAAAGCACGUUCACUUCAUGCAACACAGCUCAGUUGAUGCUUACAGUUCCAAAUACCCCAGUUCACUGGGUACAACACAGUUGGAAAUGCCUGGUAUGAAGGAACAUGCACAGCGCAGCGACAGGGAAUGUUUACCACCAACACAAGGAAGUCAAGGAGCAGCAAAGCUACAGUAGUUAGAGGAGGAUUAGCUUUCCUGAUUUCAUUUCAAGAAAACUCUCUUGCCCCUACAGUCCACUGGUUUGGCAUGGUAUUUGCCCUUGGCUCUGAGAUGUUGUUAUAUUUAACAUAGAUUAAUUUCCAGGCUUGUUUAGGAUCAGGGGCUGGCAUGGUCCUUUAAUUGCAGUCCUUCCCUCAAAACCAGUUCUAAACUUUUGCAUUUGUUUUCUUAAGUUUUCUUUAUAGUCCUGGAAUGUAAAUUUCCUCCAAUUUCUUCCACUUUGCAAACUCCAGAACCAUUUGAUCAAUAAGUUAAAACCCAAGAGAAAACUGACUGUUAGCUAAGGCUUCAGACAUGCAAAGCGCACAACCCUGAGAAACAGCAGCACCUGGGACAAGAGGCUCCCAUUCCUUUACAUUAGGAUGGCCUGGGUUUUGCCAAUCAAACAACACAGAAACCCAAUGGCGGCCCAGUUUGGACACACGUUAUGGGAUGUUCAGCAAGACACAGUCCAGGGAGCCACUUGUUCCUCUAGCUUGCAUACAUUUAUUUCACACCACCUCAGGCCACUCACAAUUUUGCUUACCUGCUCAUUGUUGCUCUCCCACCAUUCCCCAUACUCCCUUUGGGGGUGAAACACUCUAUUUCCGACUUGUGCUGGGCCAGUCUCCUGUCUUUGUACCUGGUGAGCAUGAACAAGGACAGGAGCAAACAGAAAGACGUGAUUGUGUGCUUAAACACUAGGCUGAGGAAGAGCCAUGACCACAAAGAGGGGCACCCCAUGCCAAAACAGGGAAUCCUGCUUCUCAGUGCAAUGGCUGAACUGCAAUCCUUAUUAUGUUAUUAUGAAGGGAGAUGGAAAACAUUGGAGAUGAAUUUGUUACUUCUUGGUUAAACCAUAUGUAAUCCACCCUUUAGCAUUGCAUAUUAAUCAGUGAAUUCAUCACAUCUAAUAGUCAAUGGUGAAAGGAAUGCAGUUCCUAGCAUCUGAAAAAAGAUGAGUACCAAUCAAUAAAUCAGAAUUUAUUUAUUGCAUACAUGUAUCAGCCACUGUACUAGAACUUUACUUAAAUUUAAUCUGAUGAAUAGCUCUAUGGCAGAGUCUCUAUUAUUUUCAUUUCCAUGUUACUAGUGAAGAAACCUAAAAUUAUAAAAAUUAAGUAAACUGAUCAAGACAGUUAAAUAGUUGGGGUGGGUUUUGAAAAAAGAGAGUAAAAGUUUAGAACCCACACUUUAGCCAUUAUAAUGUGCUGAUUCUAUUGUCAUGUUUUUUUUUUAAUUAAAUCUUGUCACUAGCCCACCUUCACAGAGUGAUACUAUAUCUGAAUAUUUAUUAGACACUGGCAAACCAAAAGAAAGAAGUUAUGUUCCUUUUGUAAGAGAGUCUCCCAUAAUCAUUAAACUGAAGUUUGAGAGUCAGUGUUGAAUUGAGUAUGUCUUGGAAUAUGGUUCAAAAGGCCUUGGUAUCAGAAUUGACACUUCACCUCUCCUGGAGCAUAUUAGGUAUUUCAUGUAAAUUAGUAAUGAGAUUCUCAACAUCUGUCUGCUACAAGGUACCUCAAGAUGAAUCCUUAUACUUCCAUGAGUAUUUUGAGAUAAAAUACUCUCUUUACUUUUCAUGUUUAAUCUGUGGAGUAGGUUAAGAAGCUUUGCUAUUUCCGUUUGCCAAAUAAGGAACUUACUUAACUGACUUCACCAAAGUUACAAAACUGCUUGUAGAGUUUUCAGGGACCUAAGACCUGAUGUUUUCUCUUAUAAAACUGGACCCUGAUAUGAUUCUACUUCUUCCAUGUUCUUAGUAUUUGACAGGCAAUGAUAAAAUGAGUUACUGUCAUAAGAUUUGCUAACACCAAUACAUUCACAUUCUUUUUAGUUUCUUUUCCUGCUGUCUCAAAAGUUAUAUAAAACAAAAUAUGAUAAAAUCAAGAUAAUUAUGAAUCCUAAAAUGUUAAAAUACUUGCUAAAAUAGACAAUGUUGUCCUUCUUUCACUUAUUCAUUAUCCCAUUUAAAUAAAGAUGGUUCAUUACAUUAGGGCCAAUGAACAUAAUGGGUUAGUUGUACAGUGGACAUUAGUUGAGCAUCUAAUAAAUUCUAGGCAAUGGACUUUGUACUUCAGCUAUAGAGAUACAUAAUCUGUAGGUCCUUCCUUGUAGAGCUCAUAGAAUAUUGGGAGAAAGCAAAAAAAAAAAAAAAAAAAAGGCAUGUGCCCAAGUGACUUUAGAUAUAGGUCAUAAAGAAGAGAGGAAAAGAACAUUUAAGUCUUUGUUAAAGAAGCUAAAGCAUCAGACAAAGCCAGACUGGGAAGUCUUUAUUUUACCAAAGAAAAAUUCCUCAGAAGAGAAUCCUUCUGAAGUAUCCAUCAUUGAAUGACACUCCACAGGUCAAUGCAAAAUAUUUUGUGCUUGUUUGUGAACUGAAUUGCAUAACCAAAAUACUGCUGUGCAGCUUAAAUUAAAAUAGUAUUAAUAGAAUAAUAAAUUAUUGAUGAUUAUUCAGUUGCUUACAAAAGGAUCCUUGACAUAUUUUUAAAGGUCUUCUGUUAGACUGAUUGCCAAUUCAUCAUUUAAAUCCUUCAUAAAACUGACUUAAAAUAGCUAUAUUUUUCAUGUUCAUAAGCUUUUAUCCCCAACCCUCUUUUGCAUGCCCCUCUAAACACUGCCUAAUAACCUCCAUUUAUUAAAAAUAAAACAAACCUCUUUUGGUAAGAGCUUUUACACACACAAACACACAAAACAAAAACAAAAGAAACAACAAUAAAAUUCAUUCCAAUAAUGCAAGAGAUGCCUUAGAAUUUUUGUAGUUUUCAGGUAGUUUUUGUAUUUAGCAUGGAGUAAAAAUGGCAUUAAUACAGAUUGGGAAGCUCAUCUUUGCUUUUGGAGGUGACCCUUCUUAACUACCUGUAACUGUAAUUACAGCUUUAUUAUGUUUACUACAUGCUAAAAUAGACAAUGUUGUCCUUCUUUCACUUAUUCAUUAUCCCAUUCACCAAUAAUGUGUUGCUCAAAGUAACUAAUAAUGUUUCAAUAGUCUUCACUGAAGAUUUAUAAUUCUUUCCAGUUGAGUUUAUUUCAGAUAUAUAGAACUGUUAUGCUAAACAUAAUUUAAGACUUAGAAUUUAUGUCAUAUAAAAUUUCUUCAAGAAACUCACAGGGUAAUUGUUAUCCCCAUUUUUAAAUAAGGCACCCAUGACUCAAAACGUUUUCUAUGCUGGUCAAAGCCCCAUAGGUAGUAAGUCACAGAAGUGGAACUUGAAAUCAGCUGUUUUAUUUCCAAAUCCUGUGCUCUUUAUUAACAUCUUACUCCCUGCCCCUCAUUUUAUGCUUAAAAAAAACCCCUCUUUAUUUAAAUAGUCUGAUAUCACAUUGGAGAGACCAAAAAGGUCAUAUAUGAAGGUAAUAGUGUGUACUUAGUGGAGCUAGGUUUUGAGCACAAUGUAAACUUAUUUUUUAAAAGGUCAAAUUUGACUACAUAAUGGCCAAGUAGAAUAAAUCACCCUCCAGGCUCCCUGCUAACAUGCAAACAGAAUGCCAUUCCACUGCCUGGAAUUUACCUAGACAGGAAUACACCAGCAAGCAGAGGGCUGGGAAAGGGAUCUUGCUGAGAUGAGCUCACCACCAGUGUGAUGCGUGAGAUGUGGUGUGAAUCAGAUGAUGGACAGGCAGUAGACUUCAAGAGCUGGAAUGUGUCACCAAAAGAGCUGAAAGUCAACCCUCUAGUAAAACUGAUCAAAACACUCCAGAUGAAGGCAGAAGAAAAGUCAUUAUGGAUCUUCAGUUUACAAAGAAAGAAUAAAACCAAAUUUUAAAACUUCACUAUUAUAAUGUGAUAUUGCCACGUAAUACCCUACUUCAGUCCCAUUACUCAAACUUCUAUUCAUAAGUAAAUACAUUGUAAUGGUUUACUAAAUAUGCCAACGGAUCUUGUAGCAUCCAUACACACACUGAAACACAUCCUUUGCCCAGACUUGAAAUGCCACAUUGAUUCAUUUAAAGGUUUCAGAUUAAAAACAAAAUUGAGCAUGAUUAAUAGUCCCAUAAAACAAUGUCAGAAGUGAACAUAAGUUUGAAAAUAUUUGAGAAGCUGCCAAGAAACAUAUUAAGCUGUGCUCUAUAAAAACAAAAGGAAGGUAGAAAUUGACAGGUGGGGAAGCAAUGCAAAUAAGCAAUUAAAAUGUAAAGAAUCAGCUAUAUUGACCCAGUAAUUCUAUUCAUAGGAAUUCAUUCUAAGAAAAUAAUUCAACAGAAGCUUGAAGGUUUUUGCACAAAGAUUUUCCCUUCAGUAUUAUAGAAAAUGUCAGAAGCAAAACAAGAACAAAAAACCCACUGGAGAAUAGUUUAAUAAAUUAGAGUGUAGAAAAUAAUGAAAUGUGUUAAAUUUUGUAUUGAAUAAAGCCUUUCAUUUAGCUUCCAGAGAAUUCCCAAAGGAUGAAUCUUAAUCCUGUUUAUGAGGAGAGUUGUUUUCAGAGAUGAAUCAUCUUAAGUCAUUGCCUUUUUGCUGUGUACUUUCCCUCAACAUUUCUACUUGUUUCACAAUCAAUAGAAACCCAGGAAGAUACAGAUUUUGAAAACAGUCCUAAGGUGCUUUACAAGCUUACACAACAUUCUUAAAGGAAAAGAUUUUCAGGGAGGAACUAAAGGUCAACUAGAGGGAAGGUCUCCAUAGGAGAAUAGUAUCAGCUCAAGAAUCAUUUGAGAAAGCAUUAACUAAAAGUUGCUGGCAUCUUAGGACUUAUUUCAGAAAUGAGGAAUUUUCAGGCAAAUCAUUUAUUCUAAGAUAAAAGAGUCGAGUUGUUUUCCAACAGAGAUUUCUCCUUACAUUUUUUGUAUCUGAACAACUGUAACGUCUUUGCAGACAGAAGAAACUGCAUAAUAAUAACAGAAAGAGCUGUUAUUUCCUGAACCCUGGGAAUAUAUCAGACACCAUUUAAGUGAAUUUCCUCAUUUAAUCAUUGCCAUAGUCUGAUUAACUAGAUACUGUUAUCAUCCCUAUUUUAUACACCAAGAAGAAAUAGAGCACAGGAAAAUUAAGUAACUUGUCCAAGGUCACCAGUUUGCUUAAUGAUGAUGUGUAUUACAUCUCACUAAAAUGCCAGAUACAGUAGCAUUGCUAUUUGUUGGGCUUGGUUCUGUCUUUAAAUGGCAACUGUGCUAUUUUUUCAAACCUUUCAUUCUUUUUGAUUUUUACCACAAUCUCCAUGGCUUCAGCCCCUGCCUCUGCUCUUUCCCGAGCCUUUUCUGCUCUUUUAGAGAGGAAACCUGAUUCCUCCUGGGUACUAACCUUGGUUACAAUUUGCACUAGCAACUUGAUUUUCUCAGUCUGGGGACAGAUGGAGCUCAAACUUCAGAAUUCCUCAAAGGAAGCAGAUUUUUUUUCCUGAAGCUGGUGGAUUACCAUAACCUCUCACAAUAGACCCUUGCAAGAUUCCAUUUCUAUUUUUGUGUUUAUAUUUUGAGAUCAUUUUCUUUCUUAAAUAAAGUUCACCAAAUCAUAUGAAUGUUAGGUCAUACAGGCUGAUAUACAAUAGAUUAUUAUUCAGCCAUAAAAAAGAAUGUAAUUGCCGGGCAUAGUGGCACAAGACUGCAAUCCUAGCCACUUGGGAGGCUGAGGCAAGAGGAUUACAAAUUCAAGGCCAGCAGGGAAAUUUAGCCAGGUCUGUUACAAAAUGAAAUAGUAGAAAGGUUGUGGAUGCAGCUCUAUAGUGGAGCACUUGCCUAGUGUGCACAGGGCUUGGGGUUCAAUCUAAAGUCUCUCUCUCACACACACACACAGAAUAAAAUCCUAUUGUUUGAUACAACAUGGAUGAGCCUUGAGGACAUUAUGUUGUGACAUAAGCUAUGCAUAGAAAGAAAGGUACUAUAUGUUCCCAUUCUCUUAUUUGUAGAAGCUUUAAGUUCAUCUUAUACAAAUUAAGAGUAGAAAAGUGACUACUAGAGCCUGGCAAGGGUAUGGUGGAGGGAGAGAUGGGCCUGGUAAAUAGCAGCAAUUCUACAGAUGUGUUUUGCAUUGCUGCAACUGAGAACGUGGUAAAAACAAGAUUGAUCACAGGCCAGUCCUACUACUUACCCAAAUCUAACUCCAUCUAAUCUGGUCCCUCCUUUGGUGCACAGAAGUUCACUGUCUGGUUCUCCUAUCUCAUCAAGGUUCUUCUGUUUGACAUCCUCCUUCCCCCUCACCUUCAACCUCCUGUCCUAAUGCAACACACAAAGCCACUUUUCUUCCUUUUUUAAAAAUUUCCUGUUUCUGUUUACAAACAAAUAAAAUGUGUUUAAAAAUUUUGCAAAGAAGGUUAGUUCUCAUUUUCUCAGAUUUUAAAAUCACUGGAUUUUGACAAAAACAAGGUCAGGGAGGGGUAGGGGGAGGAAGUUUGGAUGUCCUGUCAACAUGUGUGAGGAGUGAAGAGCAAAGGAGAGGAGGCAUGCUUAGUGGUAAGGUGGCCAAGCCUGGGAACGAUGCCUGUCAGAGAGAGGCAAGUCCUGGCCCACCAGGCUGUGUGCUUCCACUGGAUCCAAAAGACUCAUCUCUACUUCACUGGACUGGAAGGAGGGGGCUAAAAUCACAACUCUAUGAUGACAGACUCCUUACCACUUCAUUAUAUUCUUGAACUCAUUGUUUCAAGAGUACUGUUAUAAUAAAGGGGAUUAUAUUUUUUCCUGGCUUUAGGAUACUGUUUUAUGCUAUCAUCACACAUAGUUACAACAGAUGGAUUUACUAAUUUUGUUACUUCUAAGCAAACAUCUGUCACAAUAAAUGAAAUAUUCAUCACAGUAAAUGGAAGUGAGAUGAUUUUAAGUUCAAAAUGGGAGAUUCCUAAAGCAACCUCUAAUAGUGUUUCUUAAGUACUUAUGUGCCAUGCACUGAACUAGGAUUUGAAAUGUGAUCUACAGGAGUUCAUCAUGGAUGAGUGUGAGAGGCCAAUAUAUGUAGGUGGUCAUACCUUGGUAUCUGCAAGAGAAUAUUUCCAAGAUCCCUUGUAGAAAACAGAAUCAUAAGGUGCUUAAGUCGCUCAUAUAAAAGGGUGUGGUAUUUGCAAAUAAACUAUGUAUAUUCUUCCAUAUACUUCAAAUCUGUAGAUGACUUAUAAUACCUGAUAAAAUUUAAAUUCUGUGUAAUUGUUAUGCUAUGUUGUUCAUGGAAUGAUUAUAAGAAAAAGACAUCCAUAUAUAUUUGUAAUAGAUAGUUUUCAUUCAAAUAUUUUCAAACUAUAGUUGGUUAUAGAUGCAGUACCUAUAAAUAUGGAGGGUUCUCUCUGUAUCACUCUCAUCCACACACACACACACACACACACACACACAAACAACAAUACUUGUAUCUCCAUAUAAUUAUACACAAAUGCACACAUAUAGAUACAUAUACAAUAACUCCAAAUUUUUCUAAAUUGAGUGGAUUUUAAUUCACUCAAGUUAGGCAAUAAUAUAUCAUGGAAAAAUGUUCUGAAUUUGGAGUUAAUUAAUAUGGAUUUGAUUCCCAGCAAUGCCACUUAUUAGUUGCAUGAUUUUGAACAAUUAAUAAAACUUUCCUAAAAUCCAGUUGGACAAUGGAAACAAUAGCACUUAUCUCAUACAGUUGGUGCUUUAUAUAGAUUUUAACAUGUAAUCUCACAAGUAUAUUGUGAUACAGUUGCUAUUAUCAUCCUAAUGCUUCAGAUAAAGAAACUGAGGCAAAGAUUGGUUAGUUAGCCUGCUCAAAGUCAGAUGGUUAAAUGCAACAAAGAUAGACCACAUAUUUGAAUUACUGAAGUCUAAUUAAGGUUUGUAUUCUAAAACACUAGAUUAAAGAAAAUAACCAAAAUUACCAAAUGUAUGACUAUUAGGAAAAUAAAACUCAAUUAAACAAAUCAAAUGGAAGUUGGGAAUGUAGCUCAGUGGUUAAGUACUUGCUCAGCAUGCUCCAGGCCCUGGGUUCAAUUUCCAGUACUGAAAAAUAAAUAAAAUAAAAUUCAAUAAAUCAAGUAGAAGGCAAUGAAUAAAGAAGAGAAGGAAGAAGAGCAAGCAUACGUGAUAGGUACUGCACUUGGAGCUUCCCAUACAUUGUAUCAACUAUCCUUGGAACCCUGAGAUUAUUAUUAUGACCUUAUUUAAAGGAGAACUAUGAAUGACAUAGUUGAUGAGUAUUGGAGUGGGAAUUCAAAAUGAAGUGCUUAUGACGAUAAGGAAUAUACUUAGAUGCAUAUUGUGCUCCUUCUAGACACCUGGCAUAGAGAAUAUUCUUCACAACCUCACAAUACAAGGAGUUUAGAAUCUAAUUAGAAUGGCAAGCAUGACCACCACAGUCAGUUACACAGCACUGAAUCAAUCCACUGUGAAGGUAACAACACUUACAUGUAGCUAGAAAGAAAAGAUCAGACUAGGACUAAAAUGGAAAAGGUCAUGGUGGAACUAGAACUUACCCUGGUCUAAGAAUAUGCCAUGCACAAUUAUUAUGUGCUAAAUGCAUAAGUGGUAUGAACAGUUAACUGAAAAAAUAAUGUGUUGUUUUUCUGUUAUCUUUCUUUCUAGGGGCCUAAGAGAAGUGAAAGUCUUAGCUUUCUCCUUCAUGCCUAGAAAGAAGGCAGGGUUACUCUUGACAAUACCCAAAAUAUGGGAAAUCAGCCUACGUGCAUAUACUGGAGUUUUACUUAGCCAUAAAGAAGAAUGGCAGUUGCUGGUAAAUGGAUGGAAAUAAAGAACAUCAAGCUACGUGAAAUAAGCCAGAAACAGGAAAUCAAAGGUGGAGUGUUUUCUCUCAUAUGUGGAAACUUAAGCAAAACCAAAUAAAAAAGGUGGGAGGAUCAGAUAUCAUAAAGGCAUAAGUUUUAGAAUAUAAAACAAACAACAAUAACACCACUUAUAAUUGUAUCAAAUACUUUAUUUGGGUAUCUAUUUGUAAAAAAAUAGAAUUAUUGUAUAAUAUGAUUUGGAAUUUGCCUUGUGUCACACAAAUUUGGUAUAAAUUGUUUUCUAUAAAAUUUAACCCUUGAAACAACAAAAGAAGAUAUAGGGAAGAUUAUUAGAGUAGAAGAAGGAUAGCAAGAGAGGAGAGACAGAAAAGGGGAAGAAAUGAGGAAUUAAUUUUGAAAAAUCACACUAUGUGCACAUAUGGAUAUACCACAGGGAAUUUCACCUUUAAGCAUAAGUAGAAAGAAACAAACAAAAAUAAACAGACAGAUGGGUAAUACCAGUGUCUCAGAAGGCUGAGGCAGGAGGAUUGCCAGUUCAAAGCCAGCCUCAGCAACUUAGUGAGGCCCUAAGCAAUUCAGCAAGACCCUGUCUCUGGAUAAAAAUAUAAGAAGAAAGGGCUGGGAAUAUGGUCCAGUAGUUAAGUAUCCGCUGAGUUCAAACCCAGGUACCAGAAAAAAAAGAGGGGGUGUGAACAUUCUCAAUGAAAGAAUUAAUUAAUCAGAAGGAAAAAAAGAUGGUAUUUCAGGGAAGAACUAUAGAAAACAGGGGGAAAGAGGAAACACCACAAUCGGGAUCUAUAUCAUCUGGUUUUCUUUCUUUGAGGCUUUUUUUAAUCCCUUCUCAACAAUGAGAGUGCUGUAACUGACCAAUGAAUGCUGAUUUCCA